AUUGGCUGACAAAUCCCAAAUAGGAUGAAACGCGCGUCCUGGAU
rnacentral:hammerhead_ribozyme from 1 species